GGAGAGGAAAGACAUUUCAAGACCAGUGGAGAUUUACUAUAAGAAAAGAAAGAGCGUGUGUGUCUGACUACAAGUGCAUAAGAAGGUUCUGUGCUCUGUGAGGAAGCAAGAAAGUUUGGUUGAUGUGCUUUUCAGCUGGAUUCUACCUUCCCAUCUCAGUUUUCAAUGAGUUCAGCUUUUCCUCAUGUGAAAAACUUCAUAAUCAUUCGUCUUGAACCCACUCCUGAGUUUUCUCAAGCAAUGUCUGAAUUGAAGCUCUACCCUCUGGUGUGAAAUUCACCCUCUGUAGUUUACUGAGGGUCUGUCUCAUCAUACAGACCAUUUAUGAAGCUAUUGAACAACAUCAACCUCAGUACAAAUCUUUAGGAUGCUCCUCUUGCCAGCAGCUUCCAAAGAGAUGUCAAGUCAUGGAUUAUUAUCUUUUGAGACCAGUUGUUUAGACAAUUUUUAACCCAUCUAUCAAUUCAGCAAGCUCCUCAGCUUCUAAAACUAAACACAGCUGGGAAGGAGGAGGGUGCCCAAUGUCAAAACUAAAGCACAGUCUUCCUUUGUUCGUGUCACAGCCCUCAAGAGGCUCAAUCAGUCUCAACACUUUUGCAGAUCAUAAUCAAAGGCAGCUCACUCAUGUCAACCAGUGCUCUCAGAAGGUUUUGGGAAAUCCUCUACAGCCCCAGAGAUUUCAAUGAAAACAGCUUCCUGUGGUCCCUGAACUGCUCUUCUUCAGUUGUUGUCUCUCUCCCUCUUUUCCACCUUCUCCUGAUAUGUAUAGGGAUCCGGGGAAACUGGAUUUGUCUGCCUGAAAUUCAUUUGAUUGGAAAAGUUGUGAUCAGCAAUACCAAACACUAUCAUUUUUAUCUCCAGGUUAAAGCAGUUUUCUCUUGUCAACAAGAAAGGUAUAGAAAACAAACAGUGAUUGCACUUGCAGCUUGAUGGUCUUGUAAACAAUAUUACUCAAGUAGAUGAUUGAAGUUAUCACUUGGUAGAUUCAAAUACAAAAGUUAAUACAAUUUGUCUUUUGCAGAAUGAUCUCACUGGUUGAUAUACUAUGAUAAUUACUAUAGAGUACCAUACUUAAGGACUACAGGUCUCUUAUUUAUCUUCCCCAGGAUGUCAGUGAGUACAGAUGACAUCUCUUGCCCUAAAGAUGUGACAGAUGAAGUAUUCACAAACAACUUCAAUAGGUGAAGAGUUUUCUAGAAGGGUCUAGGACACAGUUUUAUAUAUAUAAUUUUGUGUUUCCUGGCAAAAAUCCUGCAUUUUAAAACAGCAAUGUCAAAGAGUUCGGUCUUGUUUACCUAGCUUCAUGAGAUUAAGAAAAUCUGACAUAUUUUAAAAUACAUAAAUUUAUAUUAAAUAUAUUACUGUAUGACAAUAUUGACUAAAGGAGGCAAUGGGCAGCUUAACACUUCAGGCAACUGUGUCCUUUCCACCACAAGUACAGCUUGUGAAAUACUUCCUUGGAUUAAUGUUUUCUGAGUAGGCAUGGAUAUUUUUAAAUCUCUCUUUUAUUAUCAUCAUUCUCAUUCAUUUGAUUGGUGCAUUAGGUUUCUAUUAUAUGAUUUUAUUUUAUAUUGUAUUUUAGCUCUCCAUCAACUUGGUUAUUCAUAAACUCCUACACACAGGAAGACACAAUAUUAGUAAAUCAUUCAGUAGUAAUAAUUGAAUUUGUCAGAUUUUGAUAAGCUAUUCACGCCACCACAAAACUCAUUGUUUUGAAAGGGGGGCAUUCUCCUCAGUAUUGAUUAAAAAAUAAUUGUUGAAAUUCUUCUGAAAGUAAGAAACAUUAAAACUAAUCUGGUUUGAAUUAUGACUGAGUGAAGCAGAUCUAACUCAGGUAAAAUGUGCUUUUUACUUUUGUGUUAGUAUUUCUUUAGUUACAUAUUUAAUUGAAACCGAAAUGCAGUUCUUACUUUUGGAGUUCAAUCUUUUUUUACUGAAAGCUAUUUCACCCAAAAUAAACAUAACAUUAGACAGCUUGCACUGCUGUCUAACUAAUCUGAUAUCCUGUGCAGGGCUGACAGACCCAUUGCCAAAGCCAUACAGAAAGGCUAUUGUGCAAGGUAGGUUUUUUUCUUUUGACCUUUAUGCCACUCUACAUGAUCAUUUCAGUCUUGCAUUUACUGACAAACUUCACUAUAUAAUAAAAAUAAUCAGCUCAAGACAAGAUGACUGCAGGCUAUUCCAUAAAACUUUAAUAGCCUAAUUUUUCAAGUUAGCUGAGUUAAUGAUCACAAUAAAAAUUCACCGUUUUUAUUGGAAAUGUCAAAAUUUAAUUAUAGCAACAUCUAUAUAGCAACAUCUUACUUUUUUAUGCUGCUUUUAACUUACAGAUAUUUUUUACUUAAUAUUUGCAGUGUGCUAAAUGUUUGUAUAUCUGAAAAGAUAUUGCUGGAUUUUAUUAGCAUCUAAAUUGUUUUUCACCUUACAUACACAGUCUGUGGAAUUUACUGAAAUGAACAUUUUCCUCAUCAACUUUACUUUGAAUAAAAAUCUUCUAAUCAGUAAUUUUGUUUAUAUGAUCUGAAAUAUAAACUUCAAAAUUAAAUGAUAUUGUGACUUAAACUACGCUUUGCUGUGACAGGGAUUUCCUUCCUUUUCCCAAAAGGUAUCAAUAAGGAGUGAUUUUUUAAAAAUGUUGUCAAUUCUUUUUAGCAUUCCUUUUCAUUCCUUUAAAAAAAACCCAGUUGCUACAUUCUCACAUUUUUUGGUUGAAAUAUGACAACACAAACUGCUUUCUUUGUUUCUUCCUAUUUAAUUUUCCAAAAUUGCCAUUUCAUUUGUGUUCCACAAUCAGAUUUCCUGCUGAAGUGCUGAGCUCCAUCUAUACGUAAAUUGAAUAAUCUUUCAAAGACAGAAAAGGAACUACUAUUUAAUGUGAAUUCUCAUUAUUGUAAGAAAUUAAGCUCUCUGAUUUUCUGUAAUAAUAAAUUCUGACUAUAGAAAUUCGUUAAGAAAGAACAUGACAAUAUUUUUUGUCAGUAAUGAGGAGGGUUUUUUAUAUUUAAUGAGUUCAUAAAUACUGGAAAAGUUUGUCUUCAUUAUCUCCUUUGUUUAGAGUCAGGUUUUUUAGAAAAUACCAUGAACAAACACCUUACCUACUUUAAUUUUUCCCAGUUUAAUCUCUUUUAUCAUCAAUUGAUUCAUUUUAUUGUAAACAAUUUAAAAUAGUAGACAGCUAAUCUCAAUGGCUGUAAAGAUGCACCCUCACUAAAUAAUAUAUACUUAUUAUGUAUAAAUAUAGAUUGUUUCUCUAGAAAAAAAUGUCUGAAAAUACUCAGAAAAAAAUAAAACACAGA